rnacentral:rRNA from 1 species
GAUGAACGCUGGCGGCGUGCUUAGCACAUGCAAGUCGAACGGAGUGCCCGUGAAAGAGUUUUCGGACAAUGGAUCGGGUUACUUAGUGGCGGACGGGUGAGUAACGCGUGAGGAACCUGCCUUGGAGUGGGGAAUAACACAGUGAAAAUUGUGCUAACACCGCAUGAUGCAGUUGAGUCGCAUGGCUCUGACUGCCAAAGAUUUAUCGCUCUAAGAUGGCCUCGCGUCUGAUUAGCUAGUUGGUGGGGUAACGGCCCACCAAGGCGACGAUCAGUAGCCGGACUGAGAGGUUGGCCGGCCACAUUGGGACUGAGACACGGCCCAGACUCCUACGGGAGGCAGCAGUGGGGAAUAUUGGGCAAUGGGCGCAAGCCUGACCCAGCAACGCCGCGUGAAGGAAGAAGGCUUUCGGGUGU